rnacentral:rRNA from 1 species
UGGGGAAUAUUGGACAAUGGGUGAGAGCCUGAUCCAGCCAUGCCGCGUGCAGGAAGAAGGCGUUAUGCGUUGUAAACUGCUUUUUGUACGGAACGAAAAGACUCUGGUUAAUACCUGGGGUCCAUGACGGUACCGUAAGAAUAAGCACCGGCUAACUACGUGCCAGCAGCCGCGGUAAUACGUAGGGACCAAGCGUUGUUCGGAUUUACUGGGCGUAAAGGGCGCGUAGGCGGCAAUUCAAGUCAUCUGUGAAAUCUCCGGGCUUAACUCGGAACGGUCAGAUGAUACUGCUUUGCUAGAGUGCAGAAGGGGCAAUCGGAAUUCUUGGUGUAGCGGUGAAAUGCGUAGAUAUCAAGAGGAACACCUGAUGUGAAGACGGGUUGCUGGGCUGACACUGACGCUGAGGCGCGAAAGCCAGGGGAGCAAACGGGAUUAGAUACCCGUGUAGUCCCUGAGCGGGCUGGCAAGGCGCAU